AGCGACGGACGAAUAAAGCGGCGCACGGGUGAGUAACGCGUGGAUAAUCUGCCUUAGGGACCGGGACAACUUUGCGAAAGCGGAGCUAAUACUGGAUGGUCUGCACAUGUUAAUAUGUGUGUAGUAAAGGAUGGCCUCUGAGAUAAGCCAUUGCCUUGAGAUGAGUCCGCGUUCCAUUAGCUAGUUGGUGGGGUAAAGGCCUACCAAGGCAACGAUGGAUAGCUGGUCUGAGAGGAUGAUCAGCCACACUGGAACUGAGACACGGUCCAGACUCCUACGGGAGGCAGCAGUGGGGAAUAUUGGGCAAUGGGGGCAACCCUGACCCAGCAACGCCGUGUGAGGGAAGAAGGUUUUCGGAUCGUAAACCUCUGUCAGGAGGGAAGAAGUGCAUGCCAAGUAAUAUGUGGUAUGUUUGACGGUACCUCCAAAGGAAGCACCGGCUAACUCCGUGCCAGCAGCCGCGGUAAUACGGAGGGUGCGAGCGUUAUUCGGAAUUACUGGGCGUAAAGCGCGCGUAGGCGGCGCGGCAAGUCAGAUGUGAAAGCCCCGGGCUCUACCUGGGAAUUGCAUUUGAAACUGCCGUGCUUGAGUAAGGUAGAGGGUGGCGGAAUUCCCGGUGUACGAGUGAAAUCCGUAGAUAUCGGGAGGAACACCA
rnacentral:rRNA from 1 species